rnacentral:rRNA from 1 species
CACGUAGGCGGACUGGAAAGUUGGAGGUGAAAUCCUGGGGCUCAACCCCAGAACUGCCUUCAAAACUAUCAGUCUGGAGUUCGAGAGAGGUGAGUGGAAUUCCGAGUGUAGAGGUGAAAUUCGUAGAUAUUCGGAGGAACACCAGUGGCGAAGGCGGCUUGCUGGGCUCUAACUGACGCUGAGGCUCGAAAGUGUGGGGAGCAAACA